CAGUAGCCGCGGUAAUACGAAGGGGGCUAGCGUUGUUCGGAAUUACUGGGCGUAAAGGGCGCGUAGGCGGCCAUUCAAGUUAGAUGUGAAAGCCCUGGGCUCAACCUAGGAAUUGCAUUUGAUACUGUUUGGCUUGAGUUCGGGAGAGGUGAGUGGAAUUCCCAGUGUAGAGGUGAAAUUCGUAGAUAUUGGGAAGAACACCAGUGGCGAAGGCGGCUCACUGGACCGACACUGACGCUGAAGCGCGAAAGCGUGGGGAGCAAACAGGAUUAGAUACCCGCGUAGUCCCUGUCUCUUAUAA
rnacentral:rRNA from 1 species